ACCUUAGCCCUUUAAUAUGCAAAUGCGGGUCUCCAUGAUGUUCCCAACACAUGGUGUUGUCUGGAGGUGGCCAUGAACUUGGUGCCCAUGCUGGCAAGGAGAAGACAGCAGCGGGAACUGCCUUAUUGAGUGACCCAGUUUCUAAUGGCCGGCAUUUGCAUCUCAAAGCUUGCCAGUCCGGCCCUUCGAGCUGCCUUUUCUUUUAGAAAAGAGAUGGUUCCGGUGUUUUUUAUUACAGGGAAACUUACACCGAGAACCUUUACCUUUACUAUCUGCCUAAAAAUUAGUUCUGAAUAACUCCUGUAUCACAGGGUCUUGGCCUCUGGAGCCAGCAGGGCUGAGGUUCCAUGGAGCUGGGAGUGAGGCCUAGCCUGGGACCCCCGCCUGGGCUCUAUGCCUGGCCCCCGCUCACUUUUCUGGAGCCCUUCGCUGGGGCAUUGGGAGUCACAGUCAGCAAUCCUUUAAAUUCCCAUUUUCCCGCGUGUGUCUCUCCUUGGCGGUGGACCCUCACCGGGCGGGAGAAACAAUCCCACAUUGGAACCUGGCCCUUUGCCUCCUUGCAUGAAAUAUGAACAUUGCUCCGGAAUCCACAGUGAUCAAAGCAGAUGAAGAAAUGGCGCAGACUACCUCCAGCCUGGAAUUGAAUAAAUGAGAUUUUUCUUCAACCUCCAGUGACAGUGCAAACUCAUGAGCAAAUUGCCCGCAGGGACACAACAGCUGCCACGUGGAUUCCGCCCGAAGAGGCGUCCACUGCCGGAAGGAAAGAGAAUGGUCACGUCUGUUCCUAAUGAAAACACACGUAAGGACCAGGAAACAGCUUCUGAUUGAAUUCGGAUACUUUAAUCAAUAAUCAUCCCCACCAGGAAGCACGAUCGUCCGCUGCGGAGGCAUGGAAAGGAGGCGUCACCGUCCUUCCCCAUCAGGGCCCCCCGGCUUCUGCAUCAGCCAGGGGCCCAGAGGCCAGGCCAGAACUGAGCUGCCGCCAUCCUGCCCCGUCAGGGCCCCCGGCUCGGCUCCUAUACCAGCCAGGGCCCAGAGGCCAGGCCAGAACCUCAGGUCCCAGGUAGGGUUCAUCUAGAAGGAAAGGCAAGCAGCCCAUGGACGACGUCAACCACAUUUCACAGGAAUGGAAAAACAGUUUGACCUGGAGAUGAGCUACCAAGACUCGGACCCUCCUGGAAGCAAACUCCUGAAAAACAUUGCUCCAAAACAGACAGAAAUGUAAGGAAGGGGGAGAAGAUGCAGAACGCUUUGGGCCGUGAGGCUGACUUCUUUCAAGUCACCAGCGUGCCCUGGACCUCGGCAUGGCGCUGAGUGGCAUCUGGCAGGGCUGUAUUUGUUGUUGUUGUUGUUAAAUAUAAUAUCCAUUAGCACAGGGAUAUGACAACUGGACACUUUAUCCACCCUGAAAAGAAAAGCAGCAAAACCCCAUAUUUAUGACGCUUGUUUCUAUAAAUAUUUUAUUGAUUUUAUUUCGUAAUAAAGAUAGUGAAUAUUGGCAAAAAAGUUGUAAUAUAUUAAAUGCUAUGAGAAAAAUUA
rnacentral:lncRNA from 1 species